rnacentral:rRNA from 1 species
GACGAACGCUGGCGGCGUGCUUAACACAUGCAAGUCGAACGGAAAGGCCCUGCUUUUGUGGGGUGCUCGAGUGGCGAACGGGUGAGUAACACGUGAGUAACCUGCCCUUGACUUUGGGAUAACUUCAGGAAACUGGGGCUAAUACCGGAUAGGAGCUCCUGCUGCAUGGUGGGGGUUGGAAAGUUUCGGCGGUUGGGGAUGGACUCGCGGCUUAUCAGCUUGUUGGUGGGGUAGUGGCUUACCAAGGCUUUGACGGGUAGCCGGCCUGAGAGGGUGACCGGCCACAUUGGGACUGAGAUACGGCCCAGACUCCUACAGGAGGCAGCAGUGGGGAAUAUUGCACAAUGGGCGGAAGCCUGAUGCAGCAACGCCGCGUGCGGGAUGACGGCCUUCGGGUUGUAAACCGCUUUCGCCUGUGACGAAGCGUGAGUGACGGUAAUGGGUAAAGAAGCACCGGCUAACUACGCG